rnacentral:rRNA from 1 species
GAUGAACGCUAGCGGCAGGCCUAAUACAUGCAAGUCGAACGGUGUCUUCGGACAUAGUGGCGCACGGGUGCGUAACACGUAUGCAACCUACCUUACAUUGGGGGAUAGCCUUUCGAAAGGGAGAUUAAUACCGCAUAAGACAGUAGCUGGGCAUCCAGCAGCUGUUAAAGAUUUAUCGAUGUAAGCUGGGCAUGCGUCCAAUUAGCUAGUUGGUGAGGUAACGGCUCUCCAAGGCUAUGAUUGGUAGGGGAACUGAGAGGUCAAUCCCCCACACUGGCACUGAGAUACGGGCCAGACUCCUACGGGAGGCAGCAGUAGGGAAUAUUGGGCAAUGGACGCAAGUCUGACCCAGCCAUGCCGCGUGCAGGAUGAAGGCGUUAUGCGUUGUAAACUGCUUUUAUACAGGAAGAAACGACUCUUGCGAGAGGCAUUGACGGUACUGUAUGAAUAGGCACCGGCUAACUUCGUGCCAGCAGCCGCCGUAAUAC